UGAGCCCAAGGUCAGGGGUUCAGUCCCCAUGUGGCCCAGUUGGCUUUGCUCUGUUUCAUGCUCACAGGAGGCGCCAUUGUUCUGUAAACACGCAGGCUGAGUCACAUGAGAGACCAAUGAGCAGACCAAGAACAGAUCAAUCAGUUCAAGCAGGAAAUCAACAUUAAGCUCUGGGCUCUGGUCAACAUACAAAUACCAGCAUUUGUGAAGAGACCUAUUAAACCAGCCAGGUCCUAGGAGAGGAAUCAGGGGGUGACGAUACCAGUUGAUCUGUACCAAUGGCGGAGAAAAGGAAGCUUCAAAAGUAGGUUCAACAGGGAAGAAACUUACUUAACAAGAACAAAGAACAGACAGCAAAUACUGAAGACUUAUGAGGUCAUCUUUGUCACUCAGGAAGCCGGAACUGAGUUCCUUGCAACGCCCUAUCCAGGCCUGGUUGCACUGUGUAGAUGGAGGCCUACACUGUGAGCCUG
ensembl:lncRNA